GUUCAGUGGAAUUAAAAGCAAGAACUCCAAUUUGUCUUACCUCUUUUUAGGUGUCUGACAGCUGCUCCAUCUCCUGGGGGACCUGGGUGGGGAAAGGAGGAGCCCGAGGUCUCAGGGGUGCUUCCCAUUGCGAGCUGCAGACACCCAGGUGGCAGCAGACGGGCUAUGUCACUGGUUCACAUCUACACAGAGGAAGUGACCGCAGACAAUGGAUUCCAUAUCCCUGACCUGUUCCCUUAGGCACUCCUGGUUGAAAGAGUCUGGUUCUUGGCUGUUUUCCCAGGAUCCGUAGGAAGCUACGAUUGAAGCCCGGCCCUGUGGAUUCUCAGAUGCACUUCAUCUUUCUACCUUCCUUAUCGUUG
rnacentral:lncRNA from 1 species